rnacentral:rRNA from 1 species
AUUGAACGCUGGCGGCAUGCCUUACACAUGCAAGUCGAACGGCAGCGGGGACUUCGGUCCGCCGGCGAGUGGCGAACGGGUGAGUAAUGUAUCGGAACGUACCAUUGAGUGGGGGAUAACGUAGCGAAAGUUACGCUAAUACCGCAUAUUCUCUCCGGAGGAAAGCAGGGGACCGCAAGGCCUUGCGCUCUUUGAGCGGCCGAUAUCAGAUUAGCUAGUUGGUGAGGUAAAGGCUCACCAAGGCGACGAUCUGUAGCGGGUCUGAGAGGAUGGUCCGCCACAUUGGAACUGAGACACGGUCCAGACUCCUACGGGAGGCAGCAGUGGGGAAUUUUGGACAAUGGGGGCAACCCUGAUCCAGCCAUGCCGCGUGAGUGAAGAAGGCCUUCGGGUUGUAAAGCUCUUUCGGCCGGGAAAAAAUCGCAUGGGCUAAUACCCUGUGUGGAUGAUGGUACCGGAAUAAGAAGCACCGGCUAACUACGUGCCAGCCGCCGCGGUAAGAC